AGCUCAGAUUGCAGGCUGCAACUCGCCUGCAUGAAGUCGGAAUUGCUAGUAAUCGUAGGUCAGCAUACUACGGUGAAUACGUUCCCGGGCCUUGUACACACCGUCCGUCACACCAUGGGAGUCAGUAACGCCCGAAGCCGGUGACCCAACCAAACGGAGGGAGCCGUCGAAGGUGGGACCGAUAACUGGGGUGAAGUCGUAACAAGGUAAC
rnacentral:rRNA from 1 species